CCAAAUGUGUGUCUUCACUCUGACUUGUCGCGGCCUUUUACUUCCAAACACCAAAAAAGUCCAAGAAAAGGCCGUGGGUGGCAACGGGAGGUUUGUUUUAGAACGCACUUCUGACUCCAUUGUUUAAAAAUCAUAUGUGGUUUAUUUCGUGCAAAAUUAUAAACAAAAAUCAGCCAAAUAACUUCUUAAAACUUAAAAUUAAACGAAAGUUAACUUAAUUUGCUUUAACAACUUCAAAAGUGGUCAAAAAAUCAUUUUCUAACCCUCCCGUCUUCCCAUCUGACAUUUGGCAAACAAAAAACGAAAAACCUCUUUACCACACCCAUCCAGGGUGCUCUUAAUCUCUUGAUUAAUGGGAGGGUCCAUAAGCUAAUAAACCAAUCACUUUCCAAAAGCUUCUCCAAUAAAAUUAAUUACAAAUUUACAUAACAAAACCAGGUCAGUAUAUUCUUACACCUUUAAAGAAAAAACAAAAAUGAAUACAAAUUGCAUUUUAUGAACAUUCAACAAAAAUGGCCAC